rnacentral:rRNA from 1 species
UACGGAGGGUGCAAGCGUUGUCCGGAAUCAUUGGGCGUAAAGCGCACGUAGGCGGCUCUUUAAGUCUCUUGGUGAAAGGCUGGGGCUCAACCCCAUGCAUGCCGGGGAUACUGGGGAGCUGGAGACAGGUAGAGGCCAGCGGAAUUCCGGGUGUAGCGGUGGAAUGCAGAGAUCCGGAAGAACACCGGAGGCGAAGGCGGCUGGCUGGACCUGAUCUGACGCUGAGGUGCGACAGCGUGGGGAGCAAACAGG